rnacentral:lncRNA from 1 species
CACCAUUCCAGCUCAGGCUAUUCUGCUGCCAGCUCCUCCCCUCUGUGAGCAAUGUUCCUGACUUCAGACCUUGCCUGAACAUUCUCCAUAGCACUUGCCUUCUUUGCCCUGAAAUCAAGGUCUGACAGUACUCUACUCCCAGAGCUAUCUCAUUGGCCACAUAUCCUGUAUGGUUGGUUGGCUGGUUGGCUGGUUUGGUUGGAGACAGGGCCUCCAUAUGCAGCUGUGGAACAUAUUAUGUAAACCAACCUGGGCUUCAAACCCACAGAGAUCUGCUUGCCCCUGCCUCCCAAGCAAUGGAAUUAGAGGUUUGUGCUACCAUGUCUGACUUUCCCUGGAUCCUAUUUUUAUUUUAUUUUUAUUAAAUUAUUUUAUUUAGUUACAUUCCAAAUGUUGCCCCCCUUUCUGGUUCCCCUCCCCAAGUUCUUCACCCCAUCCCUCCUGGGUCCUAUUCUUUAAAGAUGAAGUCUAUGAUAUAUGAAUUCUACAUGAAUGAAAUAGUUUAAAAUUAUAAAGGCUUUACAUGCCAAUAAGAAAGGCCUUGAGGAUGUUAUUAUUUGACUAAAAAUCAAUAUCCGACUCAACAUUUGUAUCUAAUCUUUUCCAGAUACUGCUACCUGCUGAGAGGCCCCCCUGAACUAUUCCAGAGACUAUGCCCUAUCCUGCAGACCAUCUCCUGCAGCUGGUUCCAGGCUCCAAGAAUGAAUUGGCAAGAAUGGGCCUCCCCCCUCCUUUAUAAAGUAUAUCUGCCAUUAAGCAUGUGAAC